rnacentral:rRNA from 1 species
GACGAACCGUACGAACGUUAUUCGGAAUUACUGGGCUUAAAGGGUGCGUAGGCUGUGCAGAAAGUUGGGUGUGAAAUCCCCCGGCUCAACCGGGGAAUAGCGCUCAAAACUACUGUGCUAGAGGGAGACAGAGGUAAGCGGAACUCAGGGUGGAGCGGUGAAAUGCGUUGAUAUCCUGAGGAACACCGGUGGCGAAAGCGGCUUACUGGGUCUCUUCUGACGCUGAGGCACGAAAGCUAGGGUAGCAAACGGG